CCGCCUGCUGGUGGGCGCCGCACACGUCACGGCCCUGACCCGGCCGCCGAUGUGGAACCAGGGGGGGAAACCGCCGUUCGACUCCUCCAUGUGGG
rnacentral:tRNA from 1 species